GAUGAACGCUAGCGGCAGGCUUAAUACAUGCAAGUCGUGGGGCAGCAUGAAUGUAGCAAUACAUUUGAUGGCGACCGGCAAACGGGUGCGGAACACGUACACAACCUUCCUAUAAGUGGGGAAUAGCCCAGAGAAAUUUGGAUUAAUACCCCGUAACAUAACGAUGUGGCAUCACAUUGUUAUUAUAGCUUCGGCGCUUAUUGAUGGGUGUGCGGCUGAUUAGAUAGUUGGCGGGGUAACGGCCCACCAAGUCUACGAUCAGUAGCUGAUGUGAGAGCAUGAUCAGCCACACGGGCACGGGGACACGGGCCCUACUCCGACGGGAGGCAGCAGUAAGGAAUAUUGGUCAAUGGACGUAAGUCUGAACCAGCCAUGCCGCGUGAAGGAUUAAGGUCCUCUGGAUUGUAAACUUCUUUUAUCUGGGACGAAAAAAGGCUUUUCUAAGUCACUUGACGGUACCAGAUGAAUAAGCACCGGCUAACUUCGUGCCAGCAGCCGCCGUAAUAC
rnacentral:rRNA from 1 species